CCUACGGGCGGCAGCAGUGGGGAAUAUUGCACAAUGGGGGAAACCCUGAUGCAGCCAUGCCGCGUGUGUGAAGAAGGCCUUCGGGUUGUAAAGCACUUUCAGCGAGGAGGAAAGGUUAGUAGUUAAUACCUGCUAGCUGUGACGUUACUCGCAGAAGAAGCACCGGCUAACUCCGUGCCAGCAGCCGCGGUAAUACGGAGGGUGCGAGCGUUAAUCGGAAUUACUGGGCGUAAAGCGUGCGCAGGCGGUUUGUUAAGCGAGAUGUGAAAGCCCCGGGCUCAACCUGGGAACCGCAUUUCGAACUGGCAAACUAGAGUCUUGUAGAGGGGGGUAGAAUUCCAGGUGUAGCGGUGAAAUGCGUAGAGAUCUGGAGGAAUACCGGUGGCGAAGGCGGCCCCCUGGACAAAGACUGACGCUCAGGCACGAAAGCGUGGGGAGCAAACAGGAUUAGAUACCCCAGUAGUC
rnacentral:rRNA from 1 species